rnacentral:lncRNA from 1 species
CAGCCUAAAUCCAAAGUGCAAAAUUCUCAAGACCAGACCUGUGGACAAUGCAAGCAGUGUAAGGCGAGUGUUUUCCACUGCAGACUUUGAAAUAGCAGGCAGGAGUGACUGACGAGCUGCCUGGAACGGCAGCUGAGGCACCCAGAGACCCGGUGUCUGUGAACAGGAUCCAGCGCUUCCUUUCCCAAACCGCACCAGCGCCUGCCUGGGCUGAGCAGCAAGAGAGACAUCUGUGAUAUCUGAUGACAAUCAUCUCUGAUUAGACUGUCACUGCAUAGCACAGGCAAGCCGAGGCCACAGCUAAUUAGCUAUGUGAGGCCAGCACUCUGUUUACUGGAACCGUAUUAACAAGUUGCAGCUUUUUGCAACACAGAAGAGUCAUUGCACAAAUGCCAGCCGGGAACCCUUCACUCCAACAGUUUAGGGACAAAGCUGCUGCUUCCUAACUAUACUACAACCAUGAAACAUUAAUGUCUCUGUGCCGAGAGCCAUUUUCAGGCCAUGUUCCCACCUUCUGUAAGCUGUCACUUCAAAAGACACUAGGAUAUGUUGCUUUGUAGAAUCUGAUAUUAUUCUAAGUGGGUUUGUACUUUUAAAUGAACAUCUCUUCCUUUUUCUUUUUCAGCAGUUCUUGGGCUAUGUCAGGGCACCAGCUAAGUCUGAGAAAUGUAGCUAAGAUUGGCCUUCUCAUUUGAGCUACAAGGGAAAAGAAGCAGAUGAAAAGACUAGAAACUUCGUAGGAAUUAAGGACACACGAUCUAUCUUAGCCCAUCAAUGUUUGAUAGAUUUGAUCUAUUGUUCAUAAACAUAAUGCAUAUAAGGAUGUAUUUCCAGUUUUUGCUACAGAACCAGUAGAGCUAGAGUUAUUUUCAAAACAUUUUUCUAAGCUUUUUUCAACACAAGGGAACAUUUCCAUAUAAGUUCUCCUUCACCCAUUAGAGGGGUUUCUCUGCUAACUUCAAGAAACGAUAUGCUAUUUUGUAGCUUCCAUUUCCUUUUGAAACAAAUGUAUCUAUCUCAUGACAAAUGAACUAGGAACAUUUGUUGCGAGGGGGGGGGGGCAGGGGGGAGGCCGAUAUAUUUUAUCUUUAUUAUUAUUUGAGCAUGGAUUCAAUGUACUUUUAUAUCUUGGCAUUUAGGAAAACUCUGGAGUAUUUUGCAAAGUUAAUGAAAAUUUAGCAAUAUCUUCCCUUGGAUUACUUCUACCAGAAGCCCAGAUUCCUCUAAAUGGUCUCAUUUUUUUCAUAAGGCAAAUCUACCACCUACUCUUAAAAGUUCCCAAUUUUCAGUCAAAGUUAAGACCGGUGUUUUGUUGAAUUCCUACUCUCCUUCUUUUAGUCAAAACCAGUUUGGUCAGAGACUUUCAGAAAACAGAAUUUCAGAAUAAUUCUAAAAGUCUGCAUGUUAUUAUGUAAGUGGAUGACUUUUCACGGGCCCUAACACUUGAAAUUGAUAAAUAUUCUUACUCAUUUCCCAAGGAAAACUAUGGAUUAUACAACUUGAAAAUAUGUGCAGAGGUCCUAGCACCAUAGUCUAAAAUGCAAUCUAUUGGGAAUAUAAAUAUUUUCAAUAACGUCUAUUAUGGAUGUGGUAUUUAAUUUUGGCACUAUUUCAAAUUCAGUUAUUGACAUUUAUCAUCAAAAGCACAAUUCAGAAUGUGAAUUUGUAAAUUCACAUUCACAAUUACAAAUUCACAAAUCUCCAUAUGUAGAAAUUCACAAAGUGUCUCCGGCAUGUUCAUUCAUUUUGUUUACAACCAUAAUUUAAAACAAGCAAACUUUUUCUCUUAAUGAAAGUGGUUUUUUUUUUUUUAAACUUUAAACAAAAUUUCCUCUCCAGGUGGAAAGUUGAUUACCAAUCUUUGGUCUGGAGGUAAAUUUUACAGCUGUUUUAAACCCAUGAAAGUAAGUCUUAUAUUAGAAGUGCUGACACAACCUUAUCCACAAUGUACCGACAUGAACUAUCCCGCUGUAAUAAGCAGUUAUUAUGUAUGUGUAAAAAUAAUGAGAGGCCGUGUCUGAAGAGAGUUAAUGUAAAAUGCUAAGCAAUUAUAGUUGGUUACACAGUAUAGGUUAAUAUUCCUUCAUAUAGCCGCACUUUUUUCUUCUUUUGUCCUCCAGAACUCCUAAUGAAAAUUUUGAGACCUGACUGUAAUGAUAAGCAGCCAUUCACACGUCCUUUGUGUCAAGGCUCUUGCAUUAAUGCUUCCCUUCAUAUAACAUUUUGCAUAGCCUAAAGCAUCUAUUAAAAUCCUUUGUAAAAUUCAUGAAACAAAAGUGGUGGGUUGAGUCUAGGGGGAGAGAAAGUAAGCUGCUUAUUAGCAAAAAGUCAAAAACACAGGGCCAAUUACAGAUCGGAACAAGCAGGGCUAAGGACCAGCGCAGGGAGCAAUUCUUUCUUCAGCCCAAUGGGCUCAAGCGAGGGGCAGGUUGGGUGAAAAUAUAGCAACAGUCGGAGCAGUAAUUAAACGGCGAUGUUUGCAGUUAGAAACAGCUCUAUAACAACGGAAGGAAAUGCUCAACUAACACCAUUGUCUGGCCUCACAAGGAUGCUAAAUUGGAAGGAUUUAGGGUUGCUCCCUAAAGAAGAGACUGGGGGUAGUGAAGAGGAGCAGGGGCUCAGGAGAUAUGUAAAGAAUCUGUUUGGUAUUUCAAAUGUUAUAAAUUAGAUUUUUUAAAAAGAGAGGGAGAAAGCGUGUGAGCCUUUCUCCCCACCCAGCAACAUAAAACUGAAUAAACCACAAUAAGAUUGCCCUUUUUCUGUUAUAAACUUGGCAUUAAGCCUGUCAUGUUCAAUGACAGCCUACUAGGCCUCAUGCUUUACCCUUUGGAAUUUGAAAGAUUGGCAGGUGUCAUGAUUUCCUUAACACAAUAGACCUUGCAGAUAAUGUUCACCAUGCACAUUUAUACUUCCAUAACUCCACUUUCCGCAUUUCGGCAUCAUCGGGUGAGCUUUCUAUGCAGGCUGGUGGUGCGGGGGCUGCCCAGAAGCAUAUCUGGCCUGAGGACAGUGUUUACUACCAAAGGAGCUUGCGGUCGAGGCUGUCCUUUGAUGAUUUGCUUAGCAGUCUAAACAUGCCCCAUUUACAAUAAUGAACUGCUUUGUAGAAAGCGGCUCUCUCAGAGCAUUGUUACUUUUCCUUGCAGUGGUGAAUGCAACCAGAAUGGCUCUCGUCUGACUUAAGGUUAGAAACGGGGUUCCAUUUAAACAAUAAUCCCCUCUCUUUGCAACUCCCUACCCCAGCUGUAUCCUUCCAAUAAGUCUAAGAGAAAAAAAAAAUCAACAUCGAGGGAAACACAAACCCCUAUUGAAGACUGAGAGUUCCAUUUCAACAUGCAUCGCCUAAUGGCACCUGUUUGUUACCACCCAAUGUCACUGUAAAAUAAACAAAUGAGUCUUUUCAGAGGAAUCAGUGGCCAGAAAGAGAAACUGACACUUUUUUUCCAACCCAAAGAGAGGGAAUGAGUAGUUGGCUAGGUACGAGCCAUUUAACAAAACAGUUUCACAUGAGAAAUUCAAUAAAUCUGCCCCCACACAUUUUAAACUUUUUAUUGUAGAAAAAAUUUAAAUAUACAAAAGGAGACAGAAUAAUACAAUAACCCCCAUGUACUCAUCACCCAGCUUCAACAAAUAUCAUCUCAUUCUCAUGGCCAAUCUGGUUUCACCUAUAACUCCCACUUGCUCCCCACCUUGCACUGUUAUGAAGCAAACCCUAGGCAUCAUUUCAUUGAUCAUACCUGUAAACAUUUUAGCUAUCUCUAAAAGAUAAGAAUUCUUUGCCAUUUUUUUUUUAACAG